rnacentral:lncRNA from 1 species
GCUAAUGAUGUUCAUGUGUUGCAGAGACUUUGAAUAUUUUCCCUUCUGAGCCCAUGCAUGUAGAAGAUCCAUCUUCAAAGAUACUGACCACAUGUUACAUUAUUUCUAAAACUUUUUAUUAAUUCAACACCCCCCAUUAAUUUCUAAUUGUGGCUCAUUUCCUUUGUUCCUUGCACUUGCUUUAAUUUAUGACCAUCUAGAAAU